GAUGAACGCUGACAGAAUGCUUAACACAUGCAAGUCUUUGGCGAAGCUGUGCUUGCACCGCCUAGCCAAGGCGGACGGGUGAGUAACGCGUAAGGAACUUGCCCUGCAGUCAGGGAUAACAGACGGAAACGACUGAUAAGACCUGGUAAAGUCAGGCGGACCCAUGUCCAGCCUGAUGAAAAGAGAUGCUGCAGGAGAGCCUUGCGUCCUAUUAGCUUGUUGGUGGGGUAACGGCCCACCAAGGCGAUGAUAGGUAGCCGGCCUGAGAGGGUGGACGGCCACAAGGGGACUGAGAUACGGCCCUUACUCCUACGGGAGGCAGCAGUGGGGAAUAUUGGACAAUGGGGGCAACCCUGAUCCAGCAAUUCUGUGUGCACGAUGAAGGUUUUCGGAUUGUAAAGUGCUUUCAGCAGGGAAGAAAAAAAUGACGGUACCUGCAGAAGAAGCGACGGCUAAAUACGUG
rnacentral:rRNA from 1 species